rnacentral:rRNA from 1 species
UACGGAGGGAGCUAGCGUUGUUCGGAAUUACUGGGCGUAAAGCGCACGUAGGCGGCUUUGUAAGUUAGAGGUGAAAGCCCGGGGCUCAACUCCGGAACUGCCUUUAAGACUGCAUCGCUUGAAUCCAGGAGAGGUGAGUGGAAUUCCCAGUGUAGAGGUGAAAUUCGUAGAUAUUGGGAAGAACACCGGUGGCGAAGGCGGCUCUCUGGACCGAGACUGACGCGUG